GGGGAAUAUUGGACAAUGGGCGAAAGCCUGAUCCAGCCAUGCCGCGUGAGUGAUGAAGGCCCUAGGGUUGUAAAGCUCUUUCACCGGUGAAGAUAAUGACGGUAGCCGGAGAAGAAGCCCCGGCUAACUUCGUGCCAGCAGCCGCGGUAAUACGAAGGGGGCUAGCGUUGUUCGGAAUUACUGGGCGUAAAGCGCACGUAGGCGGACUAUUUAGUCAGGGGUGAAAUCCCGGGGCUCAACCCCGGAACUGCCUUUGAUACUGGUAGUCUAGAGUCCGGAAGAGGUGAGUGGAAUUCCGAGUGUAGAGGUGAAAUUCGUAGAUAUUCGGAGGAACACCAGUGGCGAAGGCGGCUCACUGGUCCGGUACUGACGCUGAGGUGCGAAAGCGUGGGGAGCAAAC
rnacentral:rRNA from 1 species